rnacentral:tRNA from 1 species
UGUGGCUCAAUGGGAGAGCACUUGCCUAGCAUGUGUGAGGCCCUGAGUUCAAUCCUCAGCA